CCCUUAGAUGUUCGGGGCCGCACGCGCGCUACACUGAUGGGGACAGCGUGUUUGCCAUUCCUGGUCCGGCAGGAUUGGGCAAUCCGUUGAACCCCCGUCGUGAUUGGGAUCGGAGCUUGUAACUAUUCUCCGUAAACGAGGAAUUCCCAGUAAGCGCAAGUCAUCAGCUUGCGUUGAUUACGUCCCUGCCCUUUGUACACACCGCCCGUCGCUCCUACCGAUUGAAUGUGUUGGUGAGGAGCUCGGAUUGGCAGCAGUUGGUGGUUCGCCACCGGCUAUUGCUGAGAAGUCCUCCAAACCGCCCCAUUUAGAGGAAGGAGAAGUCGUAACA
rnacentral:rRNA from 1 species